rnacentral:rRNA from 1 species
AUUGAACGCUGGCGGCAUGCUUUACACAUGCAAGUCGAACGGUAACAGGCCGCAAGGUGCUGACGAGUGGCGAACGGGUGAGUAAUGCAUCGGAACGUGCCCAGUCGUGGGGGAUAACGCAGCGAAAGCUGUGCUAAUACCGCAUACGAUCUGUGGAUGAAAGCGGGGGACCGUAAGUCCUCGCGCGAUUGGAGCGGCCGGUGUCAGAUUAGGGAGUUGGUGGGGUAAAGUCUCGCCAAGCCGACGAUCUGUAGCGGGUCUGAGAGGACGACCAGCCACACUGGGACGGAGACACGGCCCAGACUCCUACGGGAGGCAGCAGUGGGGAAUUUUGGACAAUGGGCGCAAGCCUGAUCCAGCAAUGCCGCGUGCAGGAAGAAGGCCUUCGGGUUGUAAACUGCUUUUGUACGGAGCGAAAAGGCUCCCUCUAAUACAGGGGGCUCAUGACGGUACCGUAAGAAUAAGCACCGGCUAACUACGUGCCAGCAGCCGCCGUAAGAC